rnacentral:rRNA from 1 species
AUUGAACGCUGGCGGCAGGCCUAACACAUGCACGUCGAUCGAGCGGCGGACGGGUGCGUAAUGUAUGGGGAUCUGCCCGCUAGAGGGGGAUAACUACUGGGAACGGUGGCUCAUACCGCAUACUAUCGGAUGAACCCCUAUGGGAUUAGCUAGUAGGCGGGGUAAAGGCUCACCUAGGCGACGAUCUCUCGCUGGUCUGAGAGGAUGAUCAGCCACACUGGGACUGAGACACGGCCCAGACUCCUACGGGAGGCAGCAGUGGGGAAGAUUGGACAAUGGGCGCAAGCCUGAUGCAGCCAUGCCGCGUGUAUGAAGAAGGCCUUAGGGUUGUAAAGUACGUUCAGCGGGGAGGCGUUACCCGCAGAAGAAGCACCGGCGAACUCCGUGCCAGCAGCCGCGGUAAUUC